GGCCUGGUGGUCUAGUAGUAUGAUUCCUUGUUAGGGUUGCCUAAUUAUCGAGGAGGUCCCGGGUUCAAUUCCCGGCCAGGCCC